rnacentral:rRNA from 1 species
ACGCUGGCGGCGUGCCUAAUACAUGCAAGUCGAGCGCGGGAAGCGGACUCGUCACCCUUCGGGGUGUCUAGUCCGUGGAACGAGCGGCGGAUGGGUGAGUAUCACGUGGGCAACCUGCCUGUAAGAUUGGGAUAACUCGCGGAAACGUGAGCUAAUACCGAAUGAAGUCUUUCACCACCUGGUGAAAGGAUGAAAGAUGGCUUUUAGCUAUCACUUACAGAUGGGCCCGCGGCGCAUUAGCUAGUUGGUGGGGUAAAGGCCUACCAAGGCGACGAUGCGUAGCCGACCUGAGAGGGUGAUCGGCCACACUGGGACUGAGACACGGCCCAGACUCCUACGGGAGGCAGCAGUAGGGAAUCUUCCGCAAUGGACGAAAGUCUGACGGAGCAACGCCGCGUGAAGUGAUGAAGGUCUUCGGAUCGUAAACUCUGUUGUCAGGGAAGAACAAGUUGUGUUCUAACAGGACAUGACCUUGACGGUACCUGACCAGAAAGCCCCGGCUAACUACGUGCCAGCCGCCGC